UUUUAAACAAAAAAAUCAAACCCUGAACAAGUGAGGAGACUGGGCAAGUAGAACAGGCCAGUCAGCCCUCGUCAGAUAUACAGAGUGUCCGAAGCGCUGCCUUGGCUAAAAAACUGGGCUAUAGCAGAGGGUCAACUCCAGCCAGAUUGUUGAUGAAGAAGUCAUAUUCUAUGGAUGGAACCCUUUAUACACCCAGGCCACAAACCAAACCAAACCAUUCCGACUCAUUUUUGGGCGAAGACGACGAAAGUAACUUGGCGGAUUUUGAUGAAGACAUUUUUGAGAAUGAUUAUACUAAACCAGUUUAAAUAUUUUGACUCCACAAUAGUGCACAUAAUUAAAUGAAUAAUAUAGAAUAAAUAAAUGAAUGUUU